rnacentral:lncRNA from 1 species
GCGGCAAAUGUUCCUGUUGUUCGAUUCCCUGAUAGAAGGGAUCUUCUUGGUUAUUUAAAUGGAGAAAAAGAUACAACCUCAAAUAUUGAUCGAAGUGGACCACUUGAACUUCCUCUUUCAAGAAAUGCUUC